rnacentral:rRNA from 1 species
CGGCGGGGGAUGGGCAUGCGGCGCAUUAGCUAGUCGGCGGGGUAACGGCCCACCGAGGCGACGAUGCGUAGGGGUUCUGAGAGGAAGGUCCCCCACACUGGUACUGAGACACGGACCAGACUCCUACGGGAGGCAGCAGUGAGGAAUAUUGGUCAAUGGGCGGGAGCCUGAACCAGCCAAGUCGCGUGAGGGAAGACGGUCCUACGGAUUGUAAACCUCUUUUGCCGGGGAGCAACGGGGUCCUUGCGAGGGCCCGAUGAGAGUACCCGGAGAAAAAGCAUCGGCUAACUCCGUGCCAGCAGCCGCGGUAAUACGGAGGAUGCGAGCGUUAUCCGGAUUUAUUGGGUUUAAAGGGUGCGUAGGCGGGCUGUUAAGUCAGCGGUCAAAUGUCGGGGCUCAACCCCGGCCUGCCGUUGAAACUGGCGGCCUCGAGUGGGCGAGAAGUAUGCGGAAUGCGUGGUGUAGCGGUGAAAUGCAUAGAUAUCACGCAGAACUCCGAUUGCGAAGGCAGCAUACCGGCGCCCUACUGACGCUGAGGCACGAAAGCGUGGGUAUCGAACAGGAUUAGAUACCCUGGUAGUCCACGCAGUAAACGAUGAAUGCUAGCUGUCCGGUUCUACGGGACUGG